AAAGCCAUCCAGCGCCCAUGGGAGUCUGUGCAGGUCUUCCUUGAAACCAAGGACCUAAGCAGAGGCUCUGUUCCACAGUCAUCUCUGCGUGUUUUUGUAAGCGUGACCUUGGGACCAGCUUACAGCCAGACGACCCGAGGGCCUGCGUGGGGUGAGAUGUCCUGUCCCUCUGGCUGCGGAGUUGCAGCGUUACAGACCUUUCUUUGGAGAUUUGGGGGCAGAGAGACUUUUUGGAUGCAAUUCUUGGUUUCGUUAGCUGCUUGCCGCACUGCCCGCCAGCAGUGCAGGGUAAGCUCACGUACGCGUUUCUCUGGGGUGACUCAGCCCCUCGUAGUCCUUUACGCAGAGCACUGAGCAACGGUUGCAUGCAGCUCUCACAAGACUAACUUUAUGAAAGAUGCUUAUCCUGACGCAGAAGGCGCGUGAAGAACUAGAAACAGGCUCCCGUGAAAGAAAGAAGACAACAGGAUGUAUCAGAGUAGCAAGAGGAGCAGCAGGUGGAACGUAUGUAUCACAUAUGGCAAGGCACUACUUGGUGAGUGAUAGGUUUCAUAUUAAAAUAGAUAAAUCAUCCACUUGGAAGAAAAUUGCGCUCUCUGGGAAAGUAGCUUAGCUAAUGCAUCUGACGUGUUGCCCGUUAAACCAGAUAUGUUAAUUUCUGAAACCUGAUAAACAUUGCUUAUUUUUUUUGUAAUUCUUCUGGGAUAAAAUUCAGAACUGGAUAAAUCAUUCAUAGGAUCUGACAACACACCGUACGUUUUACUGGCGUGGUAGUCUCAUACCAGCGUUGCACUGUACUGAAUAGUCCCUACUUAACCAGCGUAUCUAUUGAUUGAUAUAUAGUCCCGUUACAGUAAAUAUGUAUCAUAAAUUAGACAAUAUAACCAUAAUAAACAUGCUCUAUCCAGUAUGUGACAUACUACAUCAAGAUUAGCAAUUACUAAUUGAUAUUAUAUCCCCCAGUACAGCGUUAUCUAAAUCAAAGGCAUUUUCUGUACAACCCGUGCAUCAUUCGAAAGAUUAAUCCUCCGGCAACUGUAAACAUUUUUCUACUACGUUCGUUUGGCUAAGCUGGAUGAUGGUAAUAGCCUUGAGGUUAAGUACACCGCACGGUAUGUUAGAGCUGAUACAGUGUGGUUAUGGCCACGUAUGUCCUUAGCGCUGAUUGUAUUGCGCCAGCUACAGAAUCGCCGGGAUAGCGCGCUGCUCACGCUGUAUCGUGGGAGUCUUUCCCGGUUCUCGCGACCGAGUGGAGGUUAUGCGUACAGCACUCUUGACUGUCUCUUACUCUGUGCGUUGGGACAACACAGAUAUAAAAAUUAAAGAAUGCUUAAUUCUUAAAGACUCAAAUGUCGUAAGUGAGAAUAAUUGCUUUGAAUGAAAAAAGAAAUGCCCAUUUGAAAGUAUUAUCAGUGACUCGCAUGCUCCCCAACCCUCUAGUGCUUUUCUUUCCCUUGCUUCCCGCUUGAAACUGAACUCUGUGCGCAAGUCGGAGCCUUGAGAGGGGCAUUAUGAAAUGGCUUUUGUUAGCACUCUCCAGCAUCUCAGAGCACGGCCAGAACCAUAAGGGGGAAGGACAGCACCGACCUAACCACCUUGCAUCGACCCAGCAACCUCGCCCAGAUGAUAUCCAGACGGAGUGGGGGAAUCCUGCCAGAGGGACUGAUCCAGUGCGUCUUGAGACGAAUGCCUUUUAAUAAAUGAUUUUCAGGUGUCUUUCUGUAGGGAUCAGCAGCAGCCCAUCAACGAGGAUUUCUGAGGAGCUACGUGUCCUAGAGCGUGCAACGGGGAGAGAUGCUGAUGGCUGCGGAGUCAGGAAAGGAUUAGGAUCUCCAGAAAGAAGAAGUCGGUGGAAAUACAGUUCACUCAAGCAAACAGCAGGCUGAGAACCAUCCAUAUGCUUUCCUGUACCAUCUGAGAAGAUAAAUUUAAGAGAGCACAGUCUGUGGCCGUGCUUGAGUUGGAUACGUUGUGGCACACCAGAAUAAGUACUUUGCUGGUUGUAAAACCUAAUGGAAGGAGCAAGACAUUCCUGCACUUUCUGCCCUCGAUUCUUGGCAGUGUGGAUUACAAAAUCCUGUUGACUAAAGAACGUGGAUUAGAAAGAAUGAGCUAACGAUAUGUACAGUUACUGGUUUUAUAGCCGCCUUAGUAUGCCUGAUGCUUCACACUGAUUUGACAUUGCCUCUGCCCUGAGGAGCUUGAAAUCUGAAGGCGAAACCCUGAGACCAUCUGAAAUCUGACCAUUUCACGGAAGGCUCUGAAAAAAGGAUUCGUGAGACUGAGCAAAAGAGAUUGCGUUUGACAUGUCAUCCUAGGGAGCAGGCAGGGAGUCAGCAGUAAACAACUGGAGAGGAGGAGGAAAAUAGCGGAAGAGCCCUAGUUGUUGCCAGCUUGAUUCCAGCCUCGUUCACCCAGCUAGACUUUGCCGGCGGAGGUAUUUCUGAUGUGACCCUGCUCUAAGGAGAACACCUCUCAGGCUUUUAAGCAACUGAGCCGCUACCUGAGUGGUUUCAACUCCUUGGUCCUUUGGCCUCGUUCAGUAUGUCUGAGAGUGGCGGUCCCAGAAGGAGCGGGUCGUGUCCCCGUCACUGCGCGCGGGCCACGAGGCGCCGGCCGGGCUGCUUGGGCGUUUGUGGGGCACG